AUUGAACGCUGGCGGCAUGCUUUACACAUGCAAGUCGAACGGUAACAGGCCGCAAGGUGCUGACGAGUGGCGAACGGGGGAGUAAUGCAUCGUAACGUGGCCAGUCGUGGGUGAUAAUUACUCGUAAUAGUAGCUAAUACCUCAUACGAACGAUGGAUUAAAGGGGGGGACCGUAGGGCCUCGCUCGAUUGUAGCUGGUGAUGUCAGAUUAGGUAGCUGGUGGGGUAAAGUCGCCCGAAAGCAACGACCGGUAGCUGGUCUGAGAGGACCACCAGCCACACGGGCAGUGAGAAACGGCCGAGACUCCGACGGGAGGAAGCAGUGGGGAAUUCUGGACGAGGCGGGAAAGCCUGAUCCAGCAAUGCGGGGUGAAGGAAGACGGCCUUCGGGUUGUAAACUGCCUUUGUACGGAACGAAACGGCUCUGGUUAAUAACCGGAGCUGAUGACGGUACCGGAAGAAUAAGCACCGGCUAACUACGUG
rnacentral:rRNA from 1 species